rnacentral:rRNA from 1 species
GACGACGCUGGCGGCAGGCCUAACACAUGCAAGUCGAGCGAGCGGCGGACGGGUGAGUAAUGUAUGGGGAUCUGCCCGAUAGAGGGGGAUAACUACUGGAAACGGUAGCUAAUACCGCAUACCAUCGGAUGUGCCCAGAUGGGAUUAGCUAGUAGGUGGGGUAACGGCUCACCUAGGCGACGAUCCCUAGCUGGUCUGAGAGGAUGACCAGCCAAACUGGAACGGAUACACGGUCCAGACUCCUACGGGAGGCAGCAGUGGGGAAUAUUGCACAAUGGGCGCAAGCCUGAUGCAGUCAUGCCGCGUGUAUGAAGAAGGCCUUCGGGUUGUAAAGUACUUUCAGCGAGGAGGCGUUACUCGCAGAAGAAGCACCGGCUAACUACGUGCCAGCAGCCGCGGUAAUAC